rnacentral:rRNA from 1 species
CGUAGGGUGCAGGCGUUAAUCGGAAUUACUGGGCGUAAAGCGUGCGCAGGCGGUCUUUUAAGUCAGAUGUGAAAUCCCCGGGCUUAACCUGGUAACUGCGUUUGAAACUGGAAGGCUUGAGUGUGGCAGAGGGGGUGGAAUUCCACGUGUAGCAGUGAAAUGCGUAGAGAUGUGGAGGAACACCGAUGGCGAAGGCAGCCCCCUGGGCUAACACUGACGCUCAUGCACGAAAGCGUGGGGAGCAAACAGGAUUAGAUACCCUGGUAGUCCACGCCCUAAACUAUGUCAACUGGUUGUCGGGGAAGCAAUUCCUUGGUAACGAAGCUAACGCGUGAAGUUGACCGCCUGGGGAGUACGGCCGCAAGGUUA